rnacentral:rRNA from 1 species
GACGAACGCUGGCGGCGUGCUUAACACAUGCAAGUCGAGCGGUAAGGCCCUUUCGGGGGUACACGAGCGGCGAACGGGUGAGUAACACGUGGGUGACCUGCCUUUAGCUCUGGGAUAAGCCUGGGAAACUGGGUCUAAUACCGGAUACGACUCCGCGGUGCAUGCUGUGGGGUGGAAAGCCUUGUGCGGCUGGAGAUGGGCCCGCGGCCUAUCAGCUUGUUGGUGGGGUGAUGGCCUACCAAGGCGACGACGGGUAGCCGGCCUGAGAGGGCGACCGGCCACACUGGGACUGAGAUACGGCCCAGACUCCUACGGGAGGCAGCAGUGGGGAAUCUUGCGCAAUGGGCGAAAGCCUGACGCAGCGACGCCGCGUGA